AGCUUCUUGGUAUAAACAGAAGCAGCUAGGGUGAGGAGUGCUAGCCCAGCCAAUUGGCCCGGAAAGCUCCAGCUCAUACUCCAGAGGAAUCCCAUACUGAAUCCUAAUCAGUGAGAGUUCCUUCAGAGUCAGAGAGCUGGGGAUGGUGUUUGGUACAAAGACAAGAUGAGGUUCUUCUACAGAGCUAGGGUUUUGUGGGACU
rnacentral:lncRNA from 1 species